ensembl:lncRNA
GGGUUUAGAAGAUGUAACACAGGGAAGACAGCAGCUUACACUCUGCUCUAUCACUACAUAUAGUCCUAUUAGACUUCUUCAGCAUAAACACCACAACACAACCUGGGUCUAACACACACAAGGUAACAGUCCUGUCACUGGAAAUAUCUCUACCACAAGCAGGAAUUAAACCCAUGCAAACACGUAACCACUGAGCUAACAACACAAGCAUGUGAGCCGUCAAGUCUUUUCUCAUUAACAGCUGACAGUCAAAGUAAAAGCAUACAACAAUAAUCAACUUUUAUGUAAUGUACAGUUAUAUUUAUAGUUUGCAUUAGCACUGGAAUGUGGAAAUGUUCAUGAAUACAAUGGCAAAGACAAACCUGCAGACGUCCAGCUCCCACGGACCGUGUCAACACCAGCUACCUGCAACCGUCUAUUUGCAGAAACACAAACAAAACCGAUAUAAAACGCCAUAUUCCUUCUCACAGCGAUUCAUACUUUUCGCCUAGCAUCAUUCCGGUGAAUGUGACCGCAGGCUCGUUUGUUUGUUCGCCCCCAAAACAGCCACAGUACCAACUGUACAGACGUUAGCAUAAGCUAGCUGUAAGUUAGCAACGGGACACAGGAACCGUGUGUUUGUUUGUGUAUCCGGCCUACGGCGAGUGGAUAGUGCCGCGGAUGAUCAUUGCCUAAGGACGGAGACUGCUGUGUGGCAUUCAGUCCUGCCUCUGACAUGUCGCAGAGUCGUCUUUGGGUCAAGGGUUAUCCCUCCUCCAAAGCGCCCUGAAGGAGGGUCUGGCUACUCCACACAACAUUCGGGGAUGGGAGGAAAACGUGUUCUGGUUUAAUGUGGGACUGAUAACGGACAACAAGGAGUCUGUUUUGUGGUGUUCUAACGACUUAAACACCACAAAAAAACAAAGGAAGCAAUUUUGGAUAUCAGAAGACCCAAGCACACCGAGCACUCUGCUCUCUACAUUCAUGGGGAGAAGAUGGAGAGAUCAGAGUAAGUUCCUCGGUGUGCACCUCUCGGCUGACCCCACCUGGACCAUAUCUGCUAUCAGGCUCCAUAGUGGUUGCAGGACUUGUGGGAACAUCCCUCACCUAUCUGGACGGUGGCAUCUUGGUGUUCUGGAUCCUGGGCUCAGACCUGACCUACACCAUUGUAUUCCCGCAACUGAUCUGCGUCCUCUUCAUCAAGGUUUCCAACGGUUACGGGGCGAUUACAGGCUUCCUUGUCGCCGUGGUGACGAGACUGUUGUGUGGAGAGCCGUUGUUAAGCCUUCCUGUGAUCCUGCAUUUCCCAGGAUGCACUUUAGAGGACGGCGUUUAUAUUCAGCGCUCUCCUGUCAAGACCAUUUGCAUGUUGUGUGCUCUGGUCUCCAUUCUGAUGUCUUCAUAUGUGGCCUCACUCUUUUUUAACAGGGGGAUCCUUCCUAAGAGGAUGGAUGUGUUCAAAGUGAAAUCACAAGGAGCACUAACAUCAGCAGAUGGCGCCAGACAGGGUGACAGUGAUGAGAAUGAUGAAAAUGAUACAUUUGUAUAAGUUAUAUAAUAUAAUAGUACGUACAUAGUAUGUCUUUAUAAGGACUGAUUUGUCAUUGUUGGUUAUUGCACAUUAUUAUUAUUAUUAUUAUGGAAGGAAAUCAUUUUUGGUUCGGGAUUAUUUGUUGGGCUAUUGUGACAGGCUCCUGCUGGUGGUGUUGCUUCCAUUUUUAGGUCAUAUAGAUUACAUUGUAAAUGGCUGUCCUGUGUAGUCUCAUUCCUGUUUGUCAAGGGGAUCCUUCGUGAGAGGCUGGAUAAGUUUAAGGUGAAAUCCCAGGAACCACCACAACACUUGCCUCUGCACCAAUGCUCGAUACAAGAUGCU